GCCCCGGUAAACGGCGGCCGUAACUAUAACGGUCCUAAGGUAGCGAAAUUCCUUGUCGGGUAAGUUCCGACCUGCACGAAUGGCGUAAUGAUGGCCAGGCUGUCUCCACCCGAGACUCAGUGAAAUUGAACUCGCUGUGAAGAUGCAGUGUACCCGCGGCAAGACGGAAAGACCCCGUGAACCUUUACUAUAGCUUGACACUGAACAUUGAGCCUUGAUGUGUAGGAUAGGUGGGAGGCUUUGAAGUGUGGACGCCAGUCUGCAUGGAGCCGACCUUGAAAUACCACCCUUUAAUGUUUGAUGUUCUAACGUUGGCCCGUAAUCCGGGUUGCGGACAGUGUCUGGUGGGUAGUUUGACUGGGGCGGUCUCCUCCUAAAGAGUAACGGAGGAGCACGAAGGUUGGCUAAUCCUGGUCGGACAUCAGGAGGUUAGUGCAAUGGCAUAAGCCAGCUUGACUGCGAGCGUGACGGCGCGAGCAGGUGCGAAAGCAGGUCAUAGUGAUCCGGUGGUUCUGAAUGGAAGGGCCAUCGCUCAACGGAUAAAAGGUACUCCGGGGAUAACAGGCUGAUACCGCCCAAGAGUUCAUAUCGACGGCGGUGUUUGGCACCUCGAUGUCGGCUCAUCACAUCCUGGGGCUGAAGUAGGUCCCAAGGGUAUGGCUGUUCGCCAUUUAAAGUGGUACGCGAGCUGGGUUUAGAACGUCGUGAGACAGUUCGGUCCCUAUCUGCCGUGGG
rnacentral:rRNA from 1 species